rnacentral:rRNA from 1 species
GAUGAACGCUGGCGGCGUGCCUAAUACAUGCAAGUCGAGCGAACGGACGAGAAGCUUGCUUCUCUGAUGUUAGCGGCGGACGGGUGAGUAACACGUGGAUACCCUACCUAUAAGACUGGGAUAACUUCGGGAAACCGGAGCUAAUACCGGAUGAUAUUUUGAACCGCAUGGUUCAAAAGUGAAAGACGGUCUUGCUGUCACUUAUAGAUGGAUCCGCGCUGCAUUAGCUAGUUGGUAAGGUAACGGCUUACCAAGGCAACGAUGCAUAGCCGACCUGAGAGGGGGAUCGGCCACACUGGAACUGAGACACGGUCCUGACUCCUACGGGAGGCAGCAGUAGGGAAUCGUCCGCAAUGGGCGGAAGCCUGACGGAGCAACGCCGCGUGAGUGAUGAAGGUCUUCGGAUCGUAAAACUCUGUUAUUGGGGAAGAACAUAUGUGUAAGUAACUGUGCACAGCUUGACGGUACCUAAUCAGAAAGCAACGGCUAACUACGUG